GGGCUUAUAGCUCAGCUGGUUAGAGCGCUACACUGAUAAUGUAGAGGUCCGAGGUUCGAGUCCCCGUAAGCCCACUA
rnacentral:tRNA from 2 species